rnacentral:piRNA from 1 species
UAGAGUUAACUAGCGACAUUCUCGGGGAC